rnacentral:pre_miRNA from 1 species
AUCCUGUCGCAGGAGAGAUGGCACUACCUAGCUUUACGCAUACGUAACGAGAUAUAUACGUACGUGGUAAAUAUAUAUAGAUGAGUUAUUGAUGGUGUAGCAGCUAGCUUGUGCCAUCCUCCUGUGAC